AUUAAAGUUGUUGCAGUUAAAAAGCUCGUAGUUAGACUUGUGUGCGCUGUCCGCGGGUGGCCUGCGCCCAAAAGGGCGUUUCGGUUCGGCCCCGGUGGCGCCUUGAAAUCUGCAGCUGGGGGGACGUUGGCCUUAACUGGUCGGCGACCGCACGCCGGCUGCUCGGUUACUGUGAGAAAAUUAGAGUGUUCAAGGCAGGCAUUGGGUGCAAUUGAAUACAUUAGCAUGGAAUAAUAAAAUAUGGCUCCUGCCGUAUUUUGUUGGUUUUGACUGGUGGGAGUAAUGAUUGAUAGGUACGGUUGGGGGUGCUAGUAUUGAGCGGCCAGAGGUGAAAUUCAUGGAUUCGCUCAAGACUAACUUAUGCGAAAGCAUUCACCAAGGACGUCCUCUUUAAUCAAGAACGAAAGUUGGGGGAUCGAAGACGAUCAGAUACCGUCGUAGUCUCAACCAUAAACUAUGUCGACUUGGGAUCGGCGGUAGUUUUUUCAUUAAGACACUGUCGGGACCACGGGAGAAAUCAAAGUGUCUGGACUCUGGGGGAAGUAUGGUCGCAAGGCUGAAACUUGAAGGAAUUGACGGAAGGGCACCACCAGGAGUGGAGCCUGCGGCUUAAUUUGACCCAACACGGGGAAACUUACCAGGUCCAGAGAUGUAGAGGAUCGACAGAUUGAAGCUCUUUCUUGAUCACUUCGGUGGUGGUGCAUGGCCGUUCUUAGUUGGUGGAGUGAUUUGUCUGGUUAAUUCCGUUAACGAACGAGACCUCAGCCUGCUAGUGUAGUCGGCUGGAUUGCCUUUGGCGAUCCGUGAUUUCGACUUCUUAGAGGGACAAUCGACGCGCAGUCGAUGGAAGUUUGAGGCAAUAACAGGUCUGUGAUGCCCUUAGAUGUUCUGGGCCGCACGCGCGCUACACUGCUGGGCUCAGCGAGUUUUACUUGGCCGAGAGGCCCGGUUAAUCUUGUGAAAUCCCAGCGUGCUUGGGCUCGCCUCCUGCAACUGGAGGCGCCAACGAGGAAUUCCUAGUAGACGCAGGUCAUCAACCUGCAUCGAUUACGUCCCUGCCCUUUGUACACACCGCCCGUCGUUCCAUAAGGGUGAGGCAUCCGGUGAAUUCUCGGGAGAGCCUGGGCGUGGCCAGCAAUGGUCUGCUCGGGUUUGAACUUGCAUAAACUUGGUGCCUAUGAUUAGGG
rnacentral:rRNA from 1 species